CCUACGGGCGGCAGCAGUAGGGAAUCUUCCGCAAUGGGCGAAAGCCUGACGGAGCAAUGCCGCGUGAGUGAAGAAGGCCUUCGGGUCGUAAAACUCUGUUAUAAGAGAAGAACAAAUUGUAGAGUAACUGCUACAGUCUUGACGGUAUCUUAUCAGAAAGCCACGGCUAACUACGUGCCAGCAGCCGCGGUAAUACGUAGGUGGCAAGCGUUGUCCGGAUUUAUUGGGCGUAAAGGGAGCGCAGGUGGUUUCUUAAGUCUGAUGUGAAAGCCCACGGCUUAACCGUGGAGGGUCAUUGGAAACUGGGAAACUUGAGUACAGAAGAGGAAUGUGGAACUCCAUGUGUAGCGGUGGAAUGCGUAGAUAUAUGGAAGAACACCAGUGGCGAAGGCGACAUUCUGGUCUGUUACUGACACUGAGGCUCGAAAGCGUGGGGAGCAAACAGGAUUAGAUACCCUAGUAGUC
rnacentral:rRNA from 1 species